GUGUCAGCAGCCGCGGUAAUACGAAGGUCCCAAGCGUUGUUCGGAAUCACUGGGCGUAAAGGGAGCGUAGGCGGCGCGGUAAGUCAGAUGUGAAAUCCCGGGGCUCAACCCCGGAACUGCAUCCGAUACUGCCGUGCUAGAGCAAUGGAGAGGUAGCUGGAAUUAUCGGUGUAGCAGUGAAAUGCGUAGAUAUCGAUAGGAACACUCGUGGCGAAAGCGAGCUACUGGACAUUUGCUGACGCUGAGGCUCGAAGGCUAGGGGAGCGAAAGGGAUUAGAUACCCCUGUAGUCCUAGCAGUAAACGGUGCACGCUUGGUGUGAGGGGAUUCGACCCCCCUUGUGCCGGAGCUAACGCGUUAAGCGUGCCGCCUGGGAAGUACGGUCGCAAGACUAAA
rnacentral:rRNA from 1 species